UGGCCUGGCAAUGCUCUUCCUCUUUCCCAUCCACUUGACUUCAGGAUAUAAGAAGAGAACUUGGAAUCAAUAUAAUUGAUGAACAGAAGGUGCAAUUGUCUAAGGGAUUGUGGCACGAGAUAGAUUUAUUGGCUUGGAUCAAGGAUUUGGGUCCAAUAGACCAAUACUGUGAAAAACUUACCAAACAGCAGAUUCUGUGAUCUUUUAUUUCAUUAUAGUUUCAAUCUUUAUCAUGUUGUUAAUCUUUUUUUUUCCCUUGAUUUUUUAUGUUCAACCUAUUGAUAUUUUUGCUUCUUCUUCUGCUGGUUAUUGGUUAAACACGUACCAGUACCAAUAUACUUGGUUCUCACCUUUUAGUUGGUUGUUAGUUAUUAUUUUUAUGCUGUCAUUAAUGGACUAACAUCUUUUCUUUUUGUAUUUUUAAGAUGUUAUAUAUAUUGAUUCUGUAUUAUUAUACUACCCUUUUUAUAAACUGUUUAGAGGAAUGGUUCUGGCUCUUAUCUUUUCCUUCCUAAAAUGUAUUUUGCUCCACCCUCAGCCCUCAGCUCUUGCUCAUUUUCAUGAUUAAUUGAACUUGAUUUUUACUGAAGAAGUUCCAUUGAUUUGUCAUGAAUGUCAUAGCCUUCAUAACAUUUUGUUGUUAAUGGUGAAAAGUUGUACAAUUUGCA